rnacentral:tRNA from 1 species
UACACUUUAGUUUAAAUUUUUAGAACAUUUGGCCUUGACCCAAAAAGUUCACAGUGUAU